AGAUAUGAGGGCAAUGUGGCUUUGACAUCUGUCAUCUCACUGGUUCCCAGUGUUGAUUCAGCUGAUCUGGCUAUCUAGAUAAAUGUCCUCCCACUCCCUCGCUGUCCCACAUGUUCCUUCUGAAGCUGCAUGCUCUACAGACGAUGACCUUCUCCAGUGGAGAAAGGAGCAUCCUUCAGUCAGGAGUAUCCACAUAGCUACAUUCCCCUGCUGGAACCUCCAGACAAGUCCUGGAGGUCAAAUGCUGCCCUCCCCAGCCUCACGGAGAUCGGAACCCGGUACGUGGCUUUGUGCUCACAGCUCCAAGAUGCACGUCAUGGCAUCUUGG
rnacentral:snRNA from 1 species